CCUGGGCUGACUCACACGUGUAGAAACCACAUUUAUGUAACAGAGUUGUUUGUUUUUCUUACACUGUUGCACUCCAAGUUCAAUUUUUAUUUUUUUUUUUCUCAUUUAUCUGCAGGCUUGUGUCUUCCAGCAGAGUUUUCAGUAUGGUUGGUGCAUAUGGGUAAAAAGGAGGGGUUCUGCUGAUCAGUUUCCAAAUGGAAUUUUACAACCUUCUUUGGCAAGAGAAGACAACCACGUGCUGAAACCAGUUCAGGGCAGAUUAGGUACAUUGAGCCAUCCCCAGUGUGAGCUUCCAGUUAAAUCUGAUUUAAGAGGAUUGCCACAAUGACCUGACUAAGCAGAGGUAAGUGCAUUCCCCAGUGUGGUUUGGGAAUUCAACACACAUGGGAUAAAAUU
rnacentral:lncRNA from 1 species